rnacentral:rRNA from 1 species
GACGAACGCUGGCGGCGUGCUUAACACAUGCAAGUCGAACGGAAAGGCCCUGCUUUUGUGGGGUGCUCGAGUGGCGAACGGGUGAGUAACACGUGAGUAACCUGCCCUUGACUUUGGGAUAACUUCAGGAAACUGGGGCUACUACCGGAUAGGAGCUCCUGCUGCAUGGUGGGGGUUGGAAAGUUUCGGCGGUUGGGGAUGGACUCGCGGCUUAUCAGCUUGUUGGUGGGGUAGUGGCUUACCAAGGCUGUGACGGGUCGCCGGCCUGAGAGGGUGACCGGCCACAAUGGGACUGAGAGACGGCCCAGACUCCUACGGGAGGCAGCAGUGGGGAAUAUUGCACAAUGGGCGGAAGCCUGAUGCAGCAACGCCGCGUGCGGGAUGACGGCCUUCGGGUUGUAAACCGCUUUCGCCUGUGACGAAGCGUGAGUGACGGUAAUGGGUAAGGAAGCACCGGCUAACUACGUG